GCAUGGAAGAGCUCAAUUUAGGGUUUAAAACCCUAAUGCUGGCUGAAUGGAAAAAGUUCAGUUUAGGGUUUAAAACCCUAAUGCUGACUAAAGGAAAAAUUCAGUUUAGGGUUUAAAACCCUAAUGCUGAUUAAAGGAAUAAUUCAAUUUAGGGUUUAAAACCCUAAUGCUAAUUGCAUGGAAAUGCUCAGUUUAGGGUUUAAAACCCUAAUGCUGGCUGAAUGGAAAAAAGUUCAGUUUAGGGUUUAAAACCCUAAUGCUGACUAAAGGAAAAAUUCAGUUUAGGGUUUAAAACCCUAAUGCUGAUUAAAGGAAAAAUUCAGUUUAGGGUUUAAAACCCUAAUGCUGAUUGCAUGGAAAAGCUCAGUUUAGGGUUUAAAACCCUAAUGCUGGCUGAAUGGAAAAAAGUUCAGUUUAGGGUUUAAAACCCUAAUGCUGGCUAUAGGAAAAAUUCAGUUUAGGGUUUAAAACCCUAAUGCUGACCAAAGGAAAAAUUCAUUUUAGGGUUUAAAACCCUAAUGCUGAUUGCAUGGAAAAGCUCAGUUUAGGGUUUACAACCCUAAUGCUGGUUGAAUGGAAAAAAGUUCAGUUUAGGGUUUAAAACCCUAAUGCUGGCUAUAGGAAAAAUUCAGUUUAGGGUUUAAAACCCUAAUGCUGAUUAAAGGAAAAUUUCAUUUUAGGGUUUAAAACCCUAAUGCAGAUUAAAGGAAAAAUUCAGUUUAAGGUUUAAAACCCUAAUGCUGAUUGCAUGGAAAAGCUCAGUUUAGGGUUUAAAACCCUAAUGCUGGCUGAAUGGAAAAAAGUUCAGU
rnacentral:lncRNA from 1 species